UACAGAGGAGCCAAGCGUUGUCCGGAUUGACUGGGCGUAAAGCGCACGCAGGCGGCACCGCGCGUGGGGUGUGAAAUCUGGCCGCUUAACGGCCAGGCGCCAUCCCAUACGGCGGAGCUGGAGUGAUGCAGAGGUCGAUGGAAUUGCCGGUGUAGUGGUGAAAAUGCGUAGAGAUCGGCAGGAACACCCAGGGGGGAAACCAGUCGACUGGGCAUCUACUGACGCUGAGGUGCGAGAGCGUGGGGGAGCGAACCGG
rnacentral:rRNA from 1 species